rnacentral:lncRNA from 1 species
UGCUCUUGUUGAACUGGUCUCAUGAUGUCUAUGAUGACGUGCAGGAGGGGGAUGACCCACACGGCCAUGAACAUGUUCUGCCCGUCGGCAAAGCAACUCCAGGUUCUUGCCAUCCGUCACCGAGCCCUCCCUUCGUGCCUACGGCUGACAGUUCAUUGAGGAGGCCAGCAUCCUUUUCGAAGUGUAUCCCCCCUCCUCUUGCUUUAACAUUUAUCAAGGUGAGAAGCAUCCCCAUGUCUCAGUUUUCUUCUUAUUUCAGGUUUUGACAACGGAAGAUUAUUCACUUUUUACUGUUACUUUCACCAGCAAACCAAUGAUCACUAUAUGAUAUUGAUAUAUCCUCAAAGUUUAUCUUAAUUUUGAGCAAUACACUUUUUGUUUAUAUGCAGAAUCUAUGGAGUGUGCUUUUGCAUGUAUUGACCUUGCUUAUGAAUUUUUUGUACAACUCAUUCCAUGUAAAGCUAAUGCUUUCGUUACAUAAAUAUCCGAUUUAAGAAUUAUAUGCUCGCUUUUUCCUAAAAACAUUUUUCCUAAUGUAUCGUGACAGUGCAUGUAUGAUUGAUGGGGAAUGGUUAUGUAUCAUGACCUAUCUUCCAUAAUAUAUUUUAUAUGAAUGUGAGUCAUGUUCUUUUUAUAUUGACAUAAAUGCUUAGUUAUUCAUUUUCCAGUAUUUUAUUUCGUGUCUUGAUUCUGCAAAGCUAACAUAUCAUCGCAAUGGAGUAUGUACCUCUAGAAUUUUUGUUUGGAUCUGUUUAGAUUUGUAUACAUAGUCUUUCCAGUUCAUGUUGAGCCAUAGUAGUAUAAAGUAUUAACAUCGAAUUUUCCGGGUUAUGUAAUUUUAGAACCUAAGAUGGAGUACAACCAGUGGCUGCAUUUAAUUUUCCAUUUCAUUAUUAUUUUCUACCUAUCCUUAUUUCUUUUAUGAAGUACUCAUGUGCUAAGUUGUAAGCUGACUUUUGUGUUAACCGUUUAUUUCUUUUUGUCCUUCAAAUCUUUUUAUUGUGACUAGAGGUACCUCCUAACUCGGGUGGCUGAAUCUCCUUGUAUACUAUAACUUCAAGUAUAGCUAUGGUACCUUCAUAGUUAUAGUCUUACAAAAUAGAUAUUGACCAUUUUCACUUAUUUCAAUUAUAUAUGUGUGUACAUUCUAGCCACUAUUGUUGCUUUUGUGAUGGCACUAAGUGUCUGUCAAAAUUGGAAAUUACCAAAUGUAUGUGUACCCUGUACCUUAAUGGUGGCUAUUGCAACAUGUUUGCGCUAAUUAUAUUUUGCUAUUGGAUUUGGCAAUGGUUUUGUUUAUGUCACCUCCAGAGAUAUCUUGAUGCAUCAUUGGUCUUCAUUUUCACACUUGUUUACAUUGAUGCAAAUUAACUUCUGAUUUUUGUGUCUCCAAAAAAUAAUAAAAAACACAUACCAUUUUAUAGACAAAAUAGAAGGGCGCAGCAACGCGCGCCAUAAUGAUCUAGU